rnacentral:lncRNA from 1 species
ACGGGGUGGUGGCCGGGCAGAGGGGCUCCUCACUUCCCAGAAGGGGCGGCCGGGCAGAGGCGCCCCCCGCCUCCCGGACGGGGCGGCGGCCGGGCGGAGGCGCCCCCAACCUGCCUCCCGGACAGGGCAGCUGGCCGGGCGGGGGCUGACCCCCCACCUCCCUCCCGGACCGAGAUGGCAGCAAUACAGUCCAGCUUCGGCUCGGCAUCAGUAGAGAUGAGGUUGUGCCAUGUUGCCCAGGCUGGUCUUGAACUCCUGGGCUCAAGUGAUCUGCCCGCCUCUGCCUCCCAAAGCACUGGGAUUACAGGCAUGAGCCACUGCGCCCAGCCGGUCCCAUCGUUUUCUUAUCUUUAUUCCUGAUGAGGAUUUGAAGUUGCGUGGUCAUAUUUUCUCCUCUGCUUUCCCCUGGGGGCUGGAGAGGAGGUGGGGAAGCUCAACCUUGAGACAUCAACUCCGGCACAUCUCGUACUUAGUAACUGGCACCGACUCAAUAUCCACAGCCCCCUGGGCAUGCGGGGAGUGUUGAUGCAACCACACCAUGGAGGCCAGAAAAAGAAAUCCUCAAGCAACACUUUGGCCUGAUGGACUCAGGGGACCUGCCUGAGUCUGCAGUUGGAAUCACCCCUUUCCCUUUCUUCUGGCCUGACCUCGGGGAGCCACUGUGUCGGCAGCUGCUGUCUGUGCAGAUGCUGCAGCUUCCUGUCCCUCUGCUCCUCCAGCCUUUCCUUCCGUCUCUGCACUGUUGCUUUGGUUAUGACUUGGGUAAAAUCAGAGGCUCGAACUUGUUCUCAUCUAGUCCGGCUCCAAGUACUCAUCGAAUCCAGCAGCAUAUCCUGAUGGUUCUCCCUUCCAAAAUAGUUCUAUGUAUAUAGAAGUAUUCACAGAUUUAUAUUUAUAUAAAAAUAAAUGUAUAUAUUUACACUAUGGGAUGUAGAGCUAUCUGAAUAUAACAUGUAUGUACAAUUUAUGAAAUAAUAAAUGCACACCAAGUAGUCACCACCCAGCUUAAUAGGGGAUGACCAGUAUCGUGGAAAUCCCUCCCUAAAUUCAGCCUCUUUAUUUGUCCUAUGAGAAACCAGUGCUAUAUCUAUAGCUCUAUAUACCACUAUGUAAGUAUAUACAUUUAUUUAUUUAUUUUUUGAGAUAGUUUCACUCUUGUUGCCCAAUGUGGAGUGCAGUGGCAUGAUCUCGGCUCACUGGAUUACAGGCAUGUGCCACUGCACCCGGCCAUAAUUUUUUUUUUUUUUUUGAGAUGGAGUCUUGCUCUUAUUGCUCAGGCUGGAGUGCAAUGGCACGAUCUCAGCUCACUGCAACCUCCGCCUCCCAGGUUCAAGUGAUUCUCUUGCCUCAGCUUCCCAAGUAGCUGGGAUUACAGGCACCCGCCACCACGCCUGGCUAAUUUUUGUAUUUUUAGUAGAGACGGGGUUUUGCCAUGUUGGCCAGGCUGGUCUCGAGCUCCUGACCUCGUGAUCCGCCCGCCUCGGCCUCCCAACAUGCUGGGAUUACAGACAUGAGCCACAGUGCCUGGCCCAUAAAUUUAUUUUAUUUUUUUAUUUUAUUAUUAUUAUUUUUGAGAUGGAGUCUCACUCUGUCACUGAGGCUGGAGUGCUGUGGCGUGAUCUUGGCUCACUGCAACCUCUGCCCUCCGAGUUCAAGCGAUUCUCCUGCCUCAGCCUACCGAGUAGCUGGGAUUAUAGGUGCCUGCCACCGCGCCCGGCUAAUUUUUUGUAUUUUUAGUAGAGACGGGGUUUCACCAUCUUGGCCAGGCUGGUCUUGAACUCCUGACCUCGUGAUCCACCCACCUCGGCCUCCCAAAGUGCUGGGAUUACAGGAGUGAGCCACCGCGCCCAGCUAAAUUUAUUUUUUAUACUGUUCCAUCCACCCCUCAAACCCAACCACACUCUAUGACCACACAACAGACGAAUAAUCCUUUCAGAAUGUAUAUCAUGUCACUUCCCCACUCAAAAGCUGCCAGGUGGCUUCUCAUCACAGUUUGAAUAAAACCCAAAGUACUUACCCCACGGCCUCCCAAGGCCUCAUAUAGCCACUGCGUUAAGACAGUGCCAAGCAGGCCUCAGGGACUUUGCAUGUGCUAUGCCCUCUGCAAGGCUUUUCCCGAAGAUCAGCACUGGGCUGGAUGUGUCACUUCAUUUAGGUGUCAGCUCAUGUUACUUCAUUAGGGAUAUCCUUCCUUGAUCACUUUUUUUUCCUUUUUUUUUUUUGGUGAGACUGAAUUUUGCUCUUGUUGAGCAGACUGGAGUGCAGUGGUGCAAUCUUGGCUCGCCGCACCCUCCGCCUCCCGGGUUCAAGCGAUUCUCCUGCCUCAGCCUCCUGAAUAGCUGGGAUUACAGGCGCCUGACGCCAUGCCCAGCUAAUUUUCAUAUUUUUAGUAGAGACGGUGUUUCACUGUGUUGGCCAGGCUGACCUUUUUUUCCCCCAUGUUUGGGGCUUGUCUUUGUCUCUCAAAUGCGAAAUAUAAAUCAUGUUUUUACAAGUUUUGUGAAUCUUGACUUUUCACACCUUGUUUUUGUAAGCAAAAGUUUCUUAUUAAAAU